rnacentral:snRNA from 1 species
GUGAGAGCAUUCUGGCUGUGACAUCUGUCACCCCAUUGAUCGCCAGGGUUGGUCUGGCUGACCUGGCUGGCUGGGUGGGUGUUCACUUUCCCCCCACACCAAAAGGGCGUCCCUCUCAAAGCCACAUGUUUGAAGGGGAUGAUGGUCUCCAAUAGAGGAAGACCAAUCUUUGGUCAAGGGUAUACCUCCAAACCUCCAAACAAGUUCUCAAAACAGAGGAUUUAUGUAAAGUACUU